CGGUAGUGGGCGAACCUCGCCCUCGUACUGGGGAAGAAUCACUGGAAACGAUGACUAAUACCGCAUGUGGUCCUCGGAAGGCAUCUUCUGAGGAAGAAAGGAUUUAUUCGGUACAGGAUGGGCCCGCAUCUGAUUAGCUAGUUGGUGAGAUAACAGCCCACCAAGGCGACGAUCAGUAGCCGACCUGAGAGGGUGAUCGGCCACAUUGGGACUGAGACACGGCCCAA
rnacentral:rRNA from 1 species